rnacentral:SRP_RNA from 1 species
UCGUACUCCACGGGGGUUUAGCGAGCCUCUCGACCCGAGCGCUUUAGCGGGGUGCAGAGCCUACUGUGAGGGUUGUGUGAGUAUUGAUAAAUUGUUUAAUAUCGUUGACGGGCUGAAUUAUGGUGGCGUAAUCUGUCGAACCAUGUCAGGGUGGAAACACAGCAGCAUUAAGGCAAUCUUUGCGGGUGCUAUAACUUUAGUCAAGAGGUGUUAAGCAAGGAGUCAGUAUUUGCUCAAUUCGAUAGGUAGUGGUACGA